UACGUAGGGCGCAAGCGUUGUCCGGAAUUAUUGGGCGUAAAGAGCUCGUAGGCGGUUUGUCGCGUCUGCUGUGAAAACUCGAGGCUCAACCUCGGGCUUGCAGUGGGUACGGGCAGACUAGAGUGCGGUAGGGGAGACUGGAAUUCCUGGUGUAGCGGUGAAAUGCGCAGAUAUCAGGAGGAACACCCGGUGGCGAAGGCGGGGUCUCUGGGGCCGUAAACU
rnacentral:rRNA from 1 species